rnacentral:tRNA from 1 species
GUCUUCGUGGUGUAGUGGUCAGCACGCUCGACGCGUAACCGAGAGGUCCGUGGUUCGAUUCCCGGCGAAAGCG